rnacentral:rRNA from 1 species
UACAGAGGGUGCGAGCGUUAAUCGGAAUUACUGGGCGUAAAGGGCGCGUAGGCGGUUAUAUAAGUUGAAUGUGAAAUCCCUGGGCUUAACCUAGGAACUGCAUGCAAGACUGUAUGACUAGAGUGCUGUAGAGGGUAGUGGAAUUUCCGGUGUAGCGGUGAAAUGCGUAGAUAUCGGAAGGAACACCAGUGGCGAAGGCGGCUACCUGGACAGACACUGACGCUGAGGCGCGAGAGCGUGGGGAGCAAAC